AGUGAACGCUGGCGGUAGGCCUAACACAUGCAAGUCGAACGGCAGCACAGUAAGAGCUUGCUCUUACGGGUGGCGAGUGGCGGACGGGUGAGGAAUACAUCGGAAUCUACUUUUUCGUGGGGGAUAACGUAGGGAAACCUACGCUAAUACCGCAUACGACCUACGGGUGAAAGCAGGGGAUCUUCGGACCUUGCGCGAUUGAAUGAGCCGAUGUCGGAUUAGCUAGUUGGCGGGGUAAAGGCCCACCAAGGCGACGAUCCGUAGCUGGUCUGAGAGGAUGAUCAGCCACACUGGAACUGAGACACGGUCCCGACUCCUACGGGAGGCAGCAGUGGGGAAUAUUGGACGAUGGGCGCAAGCCUGAUCCAGCCAUACCGCGUGGGUGAAGAAGGCCUUCGGGUUGUAAAGCCCUUUUGUUGGUAAAGAAGAGCAGCAGGUUAAUCCCCCGCUGUUCUGACGGUACCCAAAGAAUAAGCACCGGCUAACUUCGUG
rnacentral:rRNA from 1 species